rnacentral:rRNA from 1 species
UACAGAGGGUGCGAGCGUUGUUCGGAAUUAUUGGGCGUAAAGGGCGCGUAGGCGGUGCGGUAAGUCACCUGUGAAAUCUCCUGGCUCAACUGGGAGCUUGCAGGCGAAACUGCCGUGCUGGAGUGUGGGAGAGGUGCGUGGAAUUCCUGGUGUAGCGGUGAAAUGCGCAGAUAUCAGGAGGAACACCGGUGGCGAAGGCGGGUCUCUGGGCCAUUACUGACGCUGAGGAGCGAAAGCGUGGGGAGCGAACAGG